UUCAGCGCCGCGGCUACUAGGAUAGUGGACACAGCGCGCCUGGCUACUGCACUAGUAGAAUGCUGCGGGUGGUGACACCUCAGCGCCACGGCUACUAGGAUAGUGGACACAGCGCGCCUGGCUACUGCACUAGUAGAAUGCCGCGGGUGGUGACACGUCAGCGCCGCGGCUACUAGGAUAGUGGAUACAGCGCGCCUGGCUACUGCACUAGUAGAAUGCCGCGGGUGGUGACACGUCAGCGCCGCGGCUACUAGCUUAGUGGACACAGCACGCCUGGCUACUGCACUAGUAGAAUGUUGCGGGUGGAGACACGUCAGCGCCAUGGCUACUAGGAUAGUGGACACAUCGCGCCUGGCUACUGCACUAGUAGAAUGCUGCAAGUGGUGACACGUCAGCGCCGCGGCUACUAGGAUAGUGGACACAGCGCGCCUUACUACUGCACUAGUAGAAUGCCGCGGGUGGUGACACCUCAGCUCCACGGCUACUAGGAUAGUGGACACAGCGCGCCUGGCUACUGCACUAGUAGAAUGCUGCGGGUGGUGACCCGUAAGCGCCGCAGCUACUAGCUUAGUGGACAUAGCGCGCCUGGCUACUGCACUAGUAGAAUGCUGCGGGUGGUGACACCGCAGUGCCACGGCUGCUAGGAUAGUGGACACAGCGCGCCUGGCUACUGCACUAGUAGAAUGCCGCGGGUGGUGACACGUCAGCGCCGCGGCUACUAGCUUAGUGGACACAGCGCGCCUGGCUACUGCACUAGUAGAAUGUUGCGGGUGGUGACACGUCAGCGCCGCGGCUACUAGGAUAGUGGACACAGCGCGCCUGGCUACUGCACUAGUAGAAUGCUGCAAGUGGUGACACGUCAGCGCCGCGGCUACUANNN
rnacentral:lncRNA from 1 species